AUUGAACGCUGGCGGCAUGCUUUACACAUGCAAGUCGAACGGUAACAGGCCGCAAGGUGCUGACGAGUGGCGAACGGGUGAGUAAUGCAUCGGAACGUGCCCAGUCGUGUGGGAUAACUACUCGAAAGAGUAGCUAAUACCGCAUACGAUCUAUGGAUGAAAGCGGGGGACCGUAAGGCCUCGCGCGAUUGGAGCGGCCGAUGUCAGAUUAGGUAGUUGGUGGGGUAAAGGCUCACCAAGCCAACGAUCUGUAGCUGGUCUGAGAGGACGACCAGCCACACUGGGACUGAGACACGGCCAAGACUCCUAAGGGAGGCAGCAGUGGGGAAUUUUGGACAAUGGGCGCAAGCCUGAUCCAGCAAUGCCGCGUGCAGGAAGAAGGCCUUCGGGUUGUAAACUGCUUUUGUACGGAACGAAACGGCUUUGGUUAAUACCCGGGGCUAAUGACGGUACCGUAAGAAUAAGCACCGGCUAACUACGUG
rnacentral:rRNA from 1 species